UGAGACAGGGUCAGAGAUGUGAACAGAGGAAGUUGUUGCUUGGGCCUGGGUUAGAGGCAGUCACAGUCCCUUCAGGACGACUGGCACCAGUGACCUUGCUGGGGAAAGGAACGAAGACAUAGGUGUCUGGGCCUGGGACCCCCUGCCUGAGAGACGCAGGAACCUCUUCCUUCUGCUGUGGACACAGCGCCCACCUUCAAGGCCUGAGGACUCCUCAGCUUCGAAAGCACCCAUCCCACCCACCCCAAGCCGGCUUUCUUCCUGUUGUGUGCUUCUUGGAAAGCACGGCUGGGUUCCUGCGGGAGACGGCUCUUACCUGGACUCCUGAGAAAACACAGCCAGGGCCUAAAGCCUCUCGUUCCUCGGGCCUCAGAGCGCCCGGGCGCCACUGUCAGAAGAGCAGAGCCGCCCCGCGGUCAGCAGCCUGCACGGGCGCCGAGGGAUGAGGACGCCAGCGCGCCGAGGGAC